rnacentral:rRNA from 1 species
GACGAACGCUGGCGGCGUGCUUAACACAUGCAAGUCGAACGAUGAACCCGGAGCUUGCUCCGGUGGAUUAGUGGCGAACGGGUGAGUAACACGUGAGUAACCUGCCCUUGACUCUGGGAUAACUGCGGGAAACUGUAGCUAAUACCGGAUACGACCCUCGGCGGCAUCGCCAGGGGGUGGAAAGAAUUUCGGUCAAGGAUGGGCUCGCGGCCUAUCAGCUAGUUGGUGAGGUAACGGCUCACCAAGGCGACGACGGGUAGCCGGCCUGAGAGGGUGACCGGCCACACUGGGACUGAGACACGGCCCAGACUCCUACGGGAGGCAGCAGUGGGGAAUAUUGCGCAAUGGACGACAGUCUGACGCAGCGACGCCGCGUGGUCGAAGAAGCCCCUCGGGGUGUAAAGACCUUUUUUAGGGGACGAUUGUGACGGUACCCUAAGAAUAAGAGCCUGCUAACUACGUGCCAGCCGCCGCCGUAA